CCUACGGGAGGCAGCAGUAGGGAAUUUUCGUCAAUGGGCGCAAGCCUGAACGAGCGAUGCCGCGUGAGUGAAGAAGGCCUUCGGGUCGUAAAGCUCUGUUGCGGGGGAAAAAAGGCAGCAUCAGGAAAUGGGUGCUGACUGAUGGUGCCCCGCCAGAAAGUCACGGCUAACUACGUGCCAGCAGCCGCGGUGAUACGUAGGUGGCGAGCGUUAUCCGGAAUGGUUGGGCGUAAAGGGUGCGCAGGCGGUCCUGCAAGUCUGGAGUGAAACGCAUGAGCUCAACGCAUGAAUGGCUUUGGAUACUGGAGGACUGGAGAGCAGGAGAGGGCGGUGGAACUCAAGGUGUAGCGGUAAAAUGCGUAGAGAUAUGGAAGAACACCAGUGGCGAAGGCGGCCGCCUGGCCUGUUGCUGACGCUGAGGCACGAAAGCGUGGGGAGCAAAUAGGAUUAGAUACCCGGGUAGUC
rnacentral:rRNA from 1 species